rnacentral:rRNA from 1 species
UACGGGGGGGGCAAGCGUUGUUCGGAAUUACUGGGCGUAAAGGGCUCGUAGGCGGCCAACUAAGUCGGACGUGAAAUCCCCAGGCUCAACCCGGGAACUGCGUCCGAUACUGGCAGGCUUGAAUCCGGGAGAGGGAUGUGGAAUUCCAGGUGUAGCGGUGAAAUGCGUAGAUAUCUGGAGGAACACCGGUGGCGAAGGCGGCAUCCUGGACCGGUAUUGACGCUGAGGCGCGAAAGCCAGGGGAGCAAACGGG